rnacentral:rRNA from 1 species
UUGGGUGACAUAUACGGCGGGGUCCGACCUGAUCCCUUUCCGAACUCAGUCGUCAAAACCGCUCGUGCCGAUGAUACUUGGGUAUAGCCCACGGGAAAGUAGGUAGUUGCCCUUU